rnacentral:lncRNA from 1 species
AGAGUGCAGAGUUCUGUGGGAAACCUGCAGGAAAACUUAGUUUACCUCCAGUUCCCUGGGAAUAGGUGAGCCACUGUGAUAUGGUUUGGAUUUGUGUCCUCGCCCAAAUCUCAUGUGAAAUUGUAAUCCUCAGUAUUGGAGGAGGGGCCUGCUGAGAAGUGAUUACAUCAUGGGGGUGGAUAAUAUGUAAAUAAAAAUCAUAUUUCUGUCCUGUGUAAAAAUAUUAAAAAGUAUUUUUUACAUUUAUGAUUUCAUUGAAUUUUCGUAUCUAUCCUGGGAAAAGGCCUUAUUAUGAUGCAGAUUUUACAGAUGAAGAAACUGAAUCUCAAUAAGAAUUUUCUAUGGUUUCUAGAGCUUGACCCCAGGUUCUUUCUACUACACUUCAUUGUCUCCUAGCAUGAAUUCUGUGAGUUUAUGUAGCUCUAAU